ensembl:misc_RNA Metazoa_SRP Metazoan signal recognition particle RNA
GCCAGGUGUGGUGGCUCACACCUGUAAUCCCAGCAGCUUAGGAGGCUGAGGCAUGAGGAUCACUUGAGCCCAGGAGUUCAAGACCAGCCUGGGCCACAUAGUGAGACCCCCAUCUCUACUGAAAAGAAAAGCUUAGCUGGGAGUACUGGUGCAUGCUUGUAAUCCCAGCUACUCAGGAGGCUGAGGCAGGAAGAUCCCUUGAGCCCAGGAGUUCAAGGCUGCAGUGAGCUAUGAUUGUGCCACUGCGCUCCUGCCUGAGUGACAGAGCUAGAACCUGCCUCU